AUCCUUUUGUAGUUUGCAAGCAUGAUGAUUAGGUUUUCAUGCACAUGUGUGAGGUGUGCCUCCCUCUAACCUUGUGACGGUGGGUGGCACUUACCCGUCUGAUA